UUACUUUGUUUAGCAUCUUCUGGAUUUACAACUGGAGUCUAGGAAACCUUCAAAGACUAAAUUAUUGCAAAAAGAACUUGGAAAUGACUUAAAUCACUGAAUUUUUCCUUUGAAACUCCAACCGAGAUAUUCUAGGAGCACGUUGCCUUCGAAUUUCAUAUGGCAUGUGACAAGGUCAAACGUGGUUGGAUGGAGAUGCAAUUUUCUCUGGAGUAAUACUGAAUGAAUUUAUUGAUCUCAACAGCAGUAAACAUUCAAUCAUGUGAAUUGUCUAAUGUUGAGCCCCGCCAUUGAAAUAAGAGUGGAUUGUGCAUUAUUACAUGGUAGAUUUUGAGGCACACGUUGUAUCAAUGUGCUGAACCUCUUGUUUUGAGACAAAUAUACCCUUGAUUGACAACUGGCUGUUUGACCAGUGAUCAUUAAAAAUUGGUUAAAUUAAUGACCACAUUCAGAAGACUUGUUCAAUUUUAGCCAUUUUUAGCUUGUUAAUGAAACAACAUUGCGAAGAUCAUUGUGACUACCAUGAGACAUUGCCUGAGUGUUAAUUUUGGAGAGUUUCAUGGAGGAUUUCUCUUUGAAGCCCUAGCACAUUUUUUCCAUGCAAUCUUACCAAACUUGCCUUACUACAUCUGUACCACCCCCCGAUGAUGCCCCAUUUGUGGUAUUCUCCCACUUCCACAGUUAGAAGUACUGCAUACUGCUGUCACCUCCUAAGAUUACUGGUACCACAUUUUAAGCGAUGCAUCUCAUUGAGUGCUGGCAGUUUGCAGCUGGCCUGCAUUGUUUUAUUUUCCCCAGACAUGUCAGACAAAGAGCAAUUGGCACCCUGUUUUGCUGAUGGGGGUUUGGAGGCCCUCCUGUACAGGAUGGUGUUUUCAGUCACUGCCCCUGGAAUGUGCACGAGAUGUUCAUGACUGAUGGAAGUCUUGAGGAGCAAGCAGUAAUCUGGAGACACACUCUGAAUUGCUCUGACUUUCACGUUGGGAACUGUCACUACCUAGUUUCUAUAUAGCCAGUGGGAGAAUGGGAAAUCGAUGAGAUGAGAUUAUGUAAAAAUGAAGGUGCUAAUGAUGUAAAUAGAUCUCUCGCUUCUCACGAGCGAAAAUCUCAUCUCACUAUUCAAACACUAGUUUGGAAAAUAGGACAUUUUGCUCUUUACAGCAAGUUUCUCGUUGCUGAUCUCAGUUCUCCCAUGUUUCUUGCCAGUGACGAUGUCAUUCAGUGGCUGGGAAGAUUCUGCUCAUUGUCUUUGAUGCAAGGCAUUUUUAGAAUUCACUUUGAAACAAUAGUGCUUAUGUGCUGCAAAAUAAAGUUUAUUAUUCUUAAGUUAACUGUCUAAAAGGAUUCCUAAUAGUGGUAUUGAAAUCUUUAGUUUCAGUUAACAUUUUUCAAUCUGCUUUUGUGAGUGCUCUUUUGCUUCUACUUUUUAAUUUGAAAUAAUAAAGAAACCAUGCUGUUAUUACUUUUGCAAAAUGAAAAGCCUUUCAACAGGAGUGAAUUGUGAACAGUUGGUGAAUUAUAAUUUCACUCUAGACUCAUAUCAUUUAUUAAUUUUUUUCAUUGAAGGUAAGGGAAUGUAGUGAAACCCAGUUAAAAACAAUUUUCAUUACAAGUUAUACUUUAAAAUAAUAAAGCAAUAAAGUUGUUAUAUUUUAAAA